rnacentral:rRNA from 1 species
UUACGGGAGGCAGCAGUGGGGAAUUUUGCGCAAUGGGCUAACGCCUGACGCAGCAACGCCGCGUGGAGGAUGAAGGUCUUUGGAUUGUAAACUCCUGUCAGCAGGGAAAAAGCGAUAGGUGCUCAUACCACCUAAAGUUGAUUGUACCUGCAGAGGAAGCCCCGGCUAACUCUGUGCCAGCAGCCGCGGUAAUACAGAGGGGGCAAGCGUUAUUCGGAAUUAUUGGGCGUAAAGGGCGCGUAGGCGGCUUGGCAAGUGGAUGGUGAAAUCCCUCGGCUUAACUGAGGAACUGCCAUCCAGACUGCUUUGCUUGAGGCCGGGAGAGGCGAGUGGAAUUCCCAGUGUAGCGGUGAAAUGCGUAGAUAUUGGGAGGAACACCAGUGGCGAAGGCGGCUCGCUGGACCGGUUCUGACGCUGAGGCGCGAAAGCGUGGGGAGCAAACGGGAUUAGAUACCCGUGUAGUC